GCCUUUUGUAGAAUGAACCGGCGAGUUACGAUUUGAUGCAAGGUUAAGCAGUAAAUGUGGAGCCGUAGCGAAAGCGAGUCUGAAUAGGGCGUUUAGUAUUUGGUCGUAGACCCGAAACCAGGUGAUCUACCCUUGGUCAGGUUGAAGUUCAGGUAACACUGAAUGGAGGACCGAACCGACUUACGUUGAAAAGUGAGCGGAUGAACUGAGGGUAGCGGAGAAAUUCCAAUCGAACCUGGAGAUAGCUGGUUCUCUCCGAAAUAGCUUUAGGGCUAGCCUCAAGUGAUGAUUAUUGGAGGUAGAGCACUGUUUGGACGAGGGGCCCCUCUCGGGUUACCGAAUUCAGACAAACUCCGAAUGCCAAUUAAUUUAACUUGGGAGUCAGAACAUGGGUGAUAAGGUCCGUGUUCGAAAGGGAAACAGCCCAGACCACCAGCUAAGGUCCCAAAAUAUAUGUUAAGUGGAAAAGGAUGUGGCGUUGCCCAGACAACUAGGAUGUUGGCUUAGAAGCAGCCAUCAUUUAAAGAGUGCGUAAUAGCUCACUAGUCGAGUGACACUGCGCCGAAAAUGUACCGGGGCUAAACAUAUUACCGAAGCUGUGGAUUGUCCUUUGGACAAUGGUAGGAGAGCGUUCUAAGGGCGUUGAAGCAUGAUCGUAAGGACAUGUGGAGCGCUUAGAAGUGAGAAUGCCGGUGUGAGUAGCGAAAGACGGGUGAGAAUCCCGUCCACCGAUUGACUAAGGUUUCCAGAGGAAGGCUCGUCCGCUCUGGGUUAGUCGGGUCCUAAGCUGAGGCCGACAGGCGUAGGCGAUGGAUAACAGGUUGAUAUUCCUGUACCACCUAUAAUCGUUUUA
rnacentral:rRNA from 1 species